GAUGAACGCUGGCGGCGUGCCUAAUACAUGCAAGUAGAACGCUGAAGGCGGAGCUUGCUCUUCUGGAUGAGUUGCGAACGGGUGAGUAACGCGUAGGUAACCUGCCUGGUAGCGGGGGAUAACUAUUGGAAACGAUAGCUAAUACCGCAUGACAACAGCUAUUGCAUGAUAACUGUUGAAAAGGGGCAACUGCUCCACUACCAGACGGACCUUCGUUGUAUUAGCUAGUUGGUGAGGUAACGGCUCACCAAGGCGACGAUACAUAGCCGACCUGAGAGGGGGGUCAGCCGCACUGGGAGUGAGACAGGGCACAGACGCCUACAGGAGGCAGCAGUAGGGAAUCGUCGGCAAGGGACGGAAGUCUGAGCGAGCAACGCCGCGUGAGUGAGGAGGGUUUUCGGAUCGUAGAGCUCUGUUGUAAGAGAAGAACGAGUGUGAGAGUGGAAAGUUCACACUGUGACGGUAUCUUACCAGAAAGGGACGGCUAACUACGUG
rnacentral:rRNA from 1 species